AGAGUUUGAUCCUGGCUCAGAUUGAACGCUGGCGGCAUGCUUUACACAUGCAAGUCGAACGGUAACGCGGGGGCAACCCUGGCGACGUGUGGCGAACGGGUGAGUAAUACAUCGGAACAUAUCCAGUAGCGGGGGAUAACCUAUCGAAAGAUGGACUAAUACCGCAUACGAUCUACGGAUGAAAGCAGGGGACCGCAAGGCCUUGCACUAUUGGAGUGGCCGAUGUCGGAUUAGCUAGUUGGUGAGGUAAAGGCUUACCAAGGCGACGAUCCGUAGCUGGUCUGAGAGGACGAUCAGCCACACUGGAACUGAGACACGGUCCAGACUCCUACGGGAGGCAGCAGUGGGGAAUUUUGGACAAUGGGCGCAAGCCUGAUCCAGCCAUGCCGCGUGAGUGAAGAAGGCCUUCGGGUUGUAAAGCUCUUUCGGUGAAGACGAAACGGUUCGUGCUAAUAACGCGGACUAAUGACGGUACUCACAGAAGAAGCACCGGCUAACUACGUGCCAGCAGCCGCGGUAAUACGUAGGGUGCAGGCGUUAAUCGGAAUUACUGGGCGUAAAGCGUGCGCAGGCGGUUUGCUAAGACAGGUGUGAAAUCCCCGGGCUUAACCUGGGAAUUGCGCUUGUAACUGGCAAGCUAGAGUGUAGCAGAGGGGGGUGGAAUUCCACGUGUAGCAGUGAAAUGCGUAGAUAUGUGGAGGAACACCGAUGGCGAAGGCAGCCCCCUGGGUUAACACUGACGCUCAUGCACGAAAGCGUGGGGAGCAAACAGGAUUAGAUACCCUGGUAGUCCACGCCCUAAACUAUGUCAGCUAGUUGUCGGGGAAGAAAUUCCUUGGUAACGAAGCUAACGCGUGAAGUUGACCGCCUGGGGAGUACGGCCGCAAGGUUAAAACUCAAAGGAAUUGACGGGGACCCGCACAAGCGGUGGAUUAUGUGGAUUAAUUCGAUGCAACGCGAAAAACCUUACCUACCCUUGACAUGCUAGGAAGCCCGCAGAGAUGUGGGUGUGCCCGAAAGGGAACCUAGACACAGGUGCUGCAUGGCUGUCGUCAGCUCGUGUCGUGAGAUGUUGGGUUAAGUCCCGCAACGAGCGCAACCCUUGCCAUUAGUUGCUACAUUCAGUUGGGCACUCUAAUGGGACCGCCGGUGACAAACCGGAGGAAGGUGGGAUGACGUCAAGUCCUCAUGGCCCUUAUGGGUAGGGCUUCACACGUAAUACAAUGGUCGGUACAGAGGGCUGCCAACCCGCAAGGGGGAGCUAAUCCCAGAAAGCCGAUCGUAGUCCGGAUUGUAGUCUGCAACUCGACUGCAUGAAGCCGGAAUCGCUAGUAAUCGCGGAUCAGCAUGUCGCGGUGAAUACGUUCCCGGGUCUUGUACACACCGCCCGUCACACCAUGGGAGUGGGUUCCACCAGAAGUAGUUAGCCUAACCGCAAGGAGGGCGAUUACCACGGUGAGAUUCAUGACUGGGGUGAAGUCGUAACAAGGUA
rnacentral:rRNA from 1 species